rnacentral:rRNA from 1 species
CCCUUAGAUGUCCUGGGCCGCACGCGCGCUACACUGAUGCAUUCAACGAGUAUUUCCUUGGCCGAGAGGCCUGGGCAAUCUUUUAAACCUGCAUCGUGAUAGGGAUAGAUUAUUGCAAAUAUUAAUCUUGAACGAGGAAUUCCUAGUAAGCGCAAGUCAACAGCUUGCGUUUAUUACGUCCCUGCCCUUUGUACACACCGCCCGUCGCUACUACUGAUUGGAUGUUUAAGCGAGGUUCUCGAACUGCUAGCGACUUAGCUUCGGUGAGGUCGCAGUGUGGGAAGUGAACCUAGCUUUGGUGUCUAGAGGAAGUAAAAGUCGUAACA